rnacentral:sRNA from 1 species
UGACGUAUGACGUUUAUUGAGUUUGUGU